UACAGAGGGGGCAAGCGUUGUUCGGAAUUACUGGGCGUAAAGGGCGCGUAGGCGGCCUGCUAAGUCGAACGUGAAAUCCCUGGGCUCAACCCAGGAACUGCGUCCGAUACUGGUUGGCUUGAAUCCGGGAGAGGGACGUGGAAUUCCAGGUGUAGCGGUGAAAUGCGUAGAUAUCGGGAGGAAGACCAGCGGCGAAGGCGGCUUUCUGGACCAAUACUGACGCUGAGACGCGAAAGCGUGGGGAGCAAACAGG
rnacentral:rRNA from 1 species